CGGGGCGUAGCGCAGUCUGGUAGCGCACCUCGUUCGGGACGAGGGGGUCGGAGGUUCAAAUCCUCUCGCCCCGA
rnacentral:tRNA from 1 species